rnacentral:rRNA from 1 species
AGCCGCGGUUAAACCAAGGUGAUUAAGUUAUACUUCAUCGGUAAAAAGGCAGUUAGGUAGAAAAUCAAUAGUCGAAUUAAUUAUCAUUGAGAGGUAAAAUUUAUAAAUGAUCUAAAAAUCUAAUGGCCGCUAGAAAUCUGAAGCUGCGAAGACCCUGAGGGAAACUGGGAUCAGAUACCCCAUUAUUCCUAGAGGUAAAAGGACGUUAGUUUACCAGAGUACUAUGAACCUAUAAAUUUAAAACUCAAAGGGCUUGGCGGUGUUUUAGACUCUUCAGGGGAACCUGUCUCGUAAUCGACAGUCCACGUUAAACCUAGCCUUUAUUUGCUCUCAGUUUGUAUACCGUCGUCGUCAGGUAACUUUUUAGAAUAAAGCAGUUAGCAGAAAAAGCAUUGUAAUUUUUCACGUCAGAUCAAGGUGCAGCUGAUAUAAAGGCGAGGAUGGGUUACAAUUAUUAUAAUUAUAAACACUGAAUAGUUACUUGAAACAGAACUAGGAAGGAGGACUUGAAAGUAAAAUAAAUUAUGUAAACAAUUUGAAUCAAGCUCUGGAACGUGUACAAAUUGCCC